rnacentral:pre_miRNA from 1 species
AAGGGGAGUACAGGAUCCUGGGCUGUGUCCCCCGGUGCCCUGGGAUUGGGGCCUGUGCCGCUGGGAUUGCGCUCCCGGGCCGCGUGGCCCUCU